rnacentral:rRNA from 1 species
AGAGUUUGAUUCUGGCUCAGGAUGAACGCUGGCGGCGUGCCUAACACAUGCAAGUCGAGCGAUUACUUCGGUAAAGAGCGGCGGACGGGUGAGUAACGCGUGGGUAACCUGCCUCAUACACAUGGAUAACGUACCGAAAGGUAUGCUAAUACAGGAUAAUAUAAGAGAUUCACAUGGAUUUUUUAUCAAAGCUCCGGCGGUAUGAGAUGGACCCGCGUCUGAUUAGCUAGUUGGUAAGGUAAUGGCUUACCAAGGCGACGAUCAGUAGCCGACCUGAGAGGGUGAUCGGCCACAUUGGAACUGAGACACGGUCCAAACUCCUACGGGAGGCAGCAGGUGGGGAAUAUUGCACAAUGGGACGAAAGCCUGAUGCAGCAACGCCGCGUGAGUGAUGAAGGCCUUCGGGUACGUAAAACUCUGUCCUCAAGGAAGAUAAUGACGGUACUUGAGGAGGAACGCCCGGCUAACUACGUGCCAGCCGCGGC